AGCGCGCCCGUACUCAAGAUGGCGCUCGCAGGGCCCGGCGGAGGGACGGGCGGGGUCGCGCCCCGAGUAAAGAUGGCCGCGCCCGCCGGCACCGGCCACGCGUUUGCCCGCAGCUAAGAUGUCGGGCGUUCGGGGCCGCGGCCCCGCGGCGGUGCGGGGAUAGCGGGGGACCCGUGAGGAGCCCUGAGGCGGCUCUCGGAGCGGGGCUUGGGCCGCUCCGGGUGCUGGCACCGCGGGCGGGACGCGCCCUGAACCGAGCGGCGGGGCCGGGUGAGGGAGGAACAUGAGGUGAACCCUCCCCGCUCUUCCAGACACCGACGCUAUAGCCUUGGCCCACCCGCUGAAAUCGCACCUCUGCGUGUCCCCAGUGGUGUCUGGAGUUUGCUGGGUACUUGAAAAAUAAGUUGAAAAAGCCCAGCCGAAGUUAAAGGGGUGACCUGCCAAACCUGGUUAACCCGGACUGGCACAACCCCCGUCAUCCAGGUGGGCCUGGUGUGCUGAUACUGUGUUCAGCAUGCCCACAGCAGUCGGAUUAGAGAAAUAAUUUCAAAUUCUUCCCUAUUUUCACAUAAAACUGUGACUGCAUUGUUAAAAAUGCUGUUUAUUUCAAUUUUUAAAUGAGUACUGAAUUCCUGAAGCAGGCAAGCUUUUAUCUUCAUCCGCGUUUGCUCUUCGUAAGGUUUUUCUAGUGUUUGAAGGCAUCAAUUUUCCACUUAUGAACUGCUAGGGAUCCUGGAGUGUUUAUAGGAGAUGGAGAAGUCGUUUGGAGGAAACACACCCAGGAGAGGCAACACCACUGUCCUAAGUUUACAUUUGCUCAAGAAGCAUUUCCUGAAAAACAAGUAGGGACCUAAAAACUGGAAAACUGAACCUAACAAGCUGGGAAAGCAACUCUGAAAUAGUACUUAGGAGAACAUCAUCGUUACCCAUCCCUUCUGGAAGUCUUUUGGGUUUUCUGGGCAUUCUUUUGGUGCACGGUGACUUGUCUGGAGCCUGUCAGUACCAAAGAAGGGUUUGUCCCAGUCCCAGAUAUUCCAAGAAUCCGUGGAAACGCAGAUUAAAAACGUGUGGAUGGCUGACAAAGAGCUCAGCCAGCAAUGUGAAAUAGUGCCAUCUAACAGCUUUUUGGGAGAUGCGUGUAAACUGAAUUGGCAGCCUGGAGUUCAGCAGGCAAAGUAUGCAAAUGGAAAUUGAUACUCCUCUCAGCAACUGGAAGCGAAAGGGCAGGGCCGGAGCGCGCUCCGGGAUGAACUCAGCCCUCGGAGAUGGAGACAGAGGUGCACUGAUGGGAAAAGUGCCCGGCUCUUCUGUCGGCAGCGCGUCCCUCGGAUGGAUAAAUACACCACUCGCUGUUCAUCACUGUCAAGAAAAUUGUCACUUCUCACGAGCGCCACAUUAAUUAAAACUGAGAGUAAGGACUGGGAAGUUGAGCAUUCAGAAUCCUUUGAAAGGGGGAUGGAAUGGUGUGUUCUUAGCGUGUCGCGUGCUCUGGUGCAACUGCUGCUGCUCAGUGAAACGAAACGGGUGCCAGAAUGAGGGGAAAUCAAUCUGAACUCAUGAGAAAUUGAUUUCCAAACCUCUUGUAGCCCUUACCCUGUGCAACCAACAGGGCUGUGUAAGGUCAGCAGAUGGGCUCGUGAAACUGUGUAGCAGAAUAAAAAUUGUAUUUAUCUACUUUAA